UAACUAUUGGAAACGAUAGCUAAUACCGCAUAAUAGUAGAUGUUGCAUGACAUUUGCUUAAAAGGUGCAAUUGCAUCACUACCAGAUGGACCUGCGUUGUAUUAGCUAGUUGGUGAGGUAACGGCUCACCAAGGCAACGAUACAUAGCCGACCUGAGAGGGUGAUCGGCCACACUGGGACUGAGACACGGCCCAG
rnacentral:rRNA from 1 species